rnacentral:rRNA from 1 species
ACCGGAUGCGGAUCUCGAAAGCCUGUCCCAGUUCGGACUGGAGUCUGCAACCCGACUCCACGAAGUUGGAUUCGCUAGUAAUCGCGCAUCAGCCAUGGCGCGGUGAAUACGUUCCCGGGCCUUGUACACACCGCCCGUCAAGCCAUGGGAGCCGGGGGCGCCUGAAGUCCGGGACCGCGAGGAGCGCCCUAGGGUAAAACCGGUGACUGGGGCUAAGUCGUAACAAGGUAUC